UAAUGCAGUCGAACGAGUUCUGAUUAUUGAAAGGUGCUUGCAUCUUGAUUUAAUUUUGAACGAGUGGCGGACGGGUGAGUAACACGUGGGUAACCUGCCCUUAAGUGGGGGAUAACAUUUGGAAACAGAUGCUAAUACCGCAUAAAUCCAAGAACCGCAUGGUUCUUGGCUGAAAGAUGGCGUAAGCUAUCGCUUUUGGAUGGACCCGCGGCGUAUUAGCUAGUUGGUGAGGUAACGGCUCACCAAGGCAAUGAUACGUAGCCGAACUGAGAGGUUGAUCGGCCACAUUGGGACUGAGACACGGCCCAAACUCCUACGGGAGGCAGCAGUAGGGAAUCUUCCACAAUGGACGCAAGUCUGAUGGAGCAACGCCGCGUGAGUGAAGAAGGCUUUCGGGUCGUAAAACUCUGUUGUUGGAGAAGAAUGGUCGGCAGAGUAACUGUUGUCGGCGUGACGGUAUCCAACCAGAAAGCCACGGCUAACUACGUGCCAGCAGCCGCGGUAAUACGUAGGUGGCAAGCGUUAUCCGGAUUUAUUGGGCGUAAAGCGAGCGCAGGCGGUUUUUUAAGUCUGAUGUGAAAGCCCUCGGCUUAACCGAGGAAGUGCAUCGGAAACUGGGAAACUUGAGUGCAGAAGAGGACAGUGGAACUCCAUGUGUAGCGGUGAAAUGCGUAGAUAUAUGGAAGAACACCAGUGGCGAAGGCGGCUGUCUGGUCUGUAACUGACGCUGAGGCUCGAAAGCAUGGGUAGCGAACAGGAUUAGAUACCCUGGUAGUCCAUGCCGUAAACGAUGAAUGCUAGGUGUUGGAGGGUUUCCGCCCUUCAGUGCCGCAGCUAACGCAUUAAGCAUUCCGCCUGGGGAGUACGACCGCAAGGUUGAAACUCAAAGGAAUUGACGGGGGCCCGCACAAGCGGUGGAGCAUGUGGUUUAAUUCGAAGCAACGCGAAGAACCUUACCAGGUCUUGACAUCUUUUGAUCACCUGAGAGAUCAGGUUUCCCCUUCGGGGGCAAAAUGACAGGUGGUGCAUGGUUGUCGUCAGCUCGUGUCGUGAGAUGUUGGGUUAAGUCCCGCAACGAGCGCAACCCUUAUGACUAGUUGCCAGCAUUUAGUUGGGCACUCUAGUAAGACUGCCGGUGACAAACCGGAGGAAGGUGGGGAUGACGUCAAAUCAUCAUGCCCCUUAUGACCUGGGCUACACACGUGCUACAAUGGAUGGUACAACGAGUUGCGAGACCGCGAGGUCAAGCUAAUCUCUUAAAGCCAUUCUCAGUUCGGACUGUAGGCUGCAACUCGCCUACACGAAGUCGGAAUCGCUAGUAAUCGCGGAUCAGCACGCCGCGGUGAAUACGUUCCCGGGCCUUGUACACACCGCCCGUCACACCAUGAGAGUUUGUAACACCCGAAGCCGGUGGCGUAACCCUUUUAGGGAGCGAGCCGUCUAAGGUGGGACAAAUGAUUAGGGUGAAGUCGUAACAAGGUUUACCCGUAA
rnacentral:rRNA from 2 species